rnacentral:rRNA from 1 species
CCUACGGAGGCUGCAGUAGGGAAUAUUGCUCAAUGGGGGAAACCCUGAAGCAGCAACGCCGCGUGGAGGAUGAAGGUUUUAGGAUUGUAAACUCCUUUUGUUAGAGAAGAUUAUGACGGUAUCUAACGAAUAAGCACCGGCUAACUCCGUGCCAGCAGCCGCGGUAAUACGGAGGGUGCAAGUGUUACUCGGAAUCACUGGGCGUAAAGCGUGCGGAGGCGGGGUAAUAAGUCAGAUGUGAAAUCCUAUGGCUUAACCAGAGAACUGCAUUUGAAACUGUUAUUCUAGAGUAUGGGAGAGGUAGGUGGAAUUCUUGGUGUAGGAGUAAAAUCCGUAGAGAUCAAGAGGAAUACUCAUUGCGAAGGCGACCUGCUAGAACAUAACUGACGCUGAUGCGCGAAGGCGUGGGGAGCAAACAGGAUUAGAUACCCGUGUAGUC